rnacentral:rRNA from 1 species
UACGUAGGUGACAAGCGUUGUCCGGAUUUACUGGGCGUAAAGAGCGCGCAGGCGGUCGUUCAAGUCGAGUGUGAAAGCCCCCGGCUCAACUGGGGAGGGUCACUCGAUACUGAUCGACUCGAAGGCAGGAGAGGGAAGUGGAAUUCCCGGUGUAGUGGUGAAAUGCGUAGAGAUCGGCAGGAACACCCAGGGGGAAACCAGUCGACUGGGCAUCUACUGACGCUGAGGUGCGAGAGCGUGGGGAGAGAACCGG